CAGAAGAUAGUUUUUUUAAAAAUAUUAAUUUUGGAGAUUAAUGAUAAGAAUCUAUUCUUUCUUCUGA
rnacentral:tRNA from 1 species